UUCCAGUGCGGAUACAGAACCACGGCAUCACAAAAUAGUAUGAGUAGCUCCAGAAGAUGCGGACAAGCAUCGCAAGCAAGAAAUUACCAUUCAAAGUAAGUCUUCAGACUGGGGCGGAUGGCCUGUCUGGGACACGUUUGCAAACAGGGAGCAUCACCACUGAUGUGUACAAGACUUGCAAGGACGGUCAAAUCGAAUUUAAGGAAGGGUGGAAGGAGUUUCUGUUCGAGUAGGACCUUAGUGUUGGCGAUGGUGUGCUGGUCACUAUCAGGCGCAGCGCAUUUUGAGGAAUUCAAAAUGAUUAUGAUCAUUAACAAGAUCUGAGAGUUGCUCCAGUUUAGUCAGGAGGCCGCGUGCACUCGACUUAUUUCAUCGUUAUAGUUUUCUGUGAGUUGAACAAUCUGUAUUUCAGUUUUGGGAAAAACUAAUGGGAAGCGCCGCACCGUGCCCACCCCAUGCCGCGGCACGUUACGAUACACGCACGCGAUCGUGCGGUUAGGCAGCGUCGCACCGACCGUCCACCGUUUUUAGCUCAGGAGCGGGGGGAACUGUUCAAAUUUUGUGCGCUUUUUUUUUGCUUUUCAAUUUCUGUUUUCUUUCUUUUUCACACUCUCCAAAUAUGUCAUAUCAUUUUUUCCUAGCAGCAAAUUUAUUUCCUGAAUAACAAGUUAUUUUUGUAUGCUUUCCACAAAUAUGCAGCGUGAUCAUCAUCAAAUAUGAAAAAAGCUGGGUGUAUACAUGGGAUUUCGCUGAUUUAAGCUACAUCACACGAGAGUUGUCUGCUAAUUGUGCCGAAGUUGGGAUAGAGUAUCUGCAGGCAACCAACAAAGUUGAGGGCAAGUUGAUACUCUCACACUUCGUGUCCAAGUUCUUGUUGCAAGACGAGCAUAAUAAGAAGAUAGUCACAAACAUUUUCGAAAGGAAGAAGGACUUUGCUCUUACCUGUCAGAACUUAAUCAUGUUUCCUGUUAUUGAAGAAACUGGAGUGAAUGAAGUGUGAGGACAUCACUGAUACGUUCUAUGCAUCAAUAAUACUGCUCAAAGGUUUGAGGCAUUAGAUUCACUAUGCAACAAAACAAAUAUGGAUCUUACCUGUCACGCAACCGUUGUAAUGAAAAGAAUUAAGGAAGCAUGGAAGCUAUAUUAUUAUAAGUCCAGGGUUCAGAUUAAAAACUACGAACUCGAGAUCAUUGAUGUUCCCAAGCAGGCCACAAAGAGUGUGCACUGCGGCCUCUAUAUGCUGGAGUAUCUUCAUAAGUGGGAUGGUGUGAAUGUGUCUAAAAUUCGGAAAGAGGACGUCCAAAAAAUAAAGAAGAAAACAGCCAACAAGUGGCUCAACGCUCCUUUCAACAAAAACCAAAAGUGGAAAUGGCAUCUCGACAACAACUCUGCGUGAGGAAUUGGGAAAGCAAACCAGAUGUUGAAGAUCCAGAGGGAGAAAGAGAGGUGCAGAUAUGAGGGGGCAGAAAAGUUAGGUGCUGUUUUGGGGGUAGAAACAAGAGAUUUUUCUGUAGGAUUUAUGUGUUUUGUGCAAAAACUGAGGGGCAGUAAUUUGUAAUGUAGAUUCAUAUUUGGAGUUCUUGCAACGAUCCUGGGAUGGGGCACUUUCGUACCUUUAUUUUUGCUGUUUGGAUCACUUUGGACCACUUCAGAUUUCACCUCUUUUUGUUGCUUGUGUUUGUUAUUCCUUCCUAUAUUUCUAGAUCUCCUGUGUUUAUGCCAAUGGACAAUUGGGGAGGGAGAGGGAGGAAGAAGACGGGGGUGGGA